AUACGUAGGGGGCUAGCGUUAUCCGGAAUUACUGGGCGUAAAGGGUGCGUAGGUGGUUUCUUAAGUCAGAAGUGAAAGGCUACGGCUCAACCGUAGUAAGCUUUUGAAACUAAGAGACUUGAGUGCAGGAGAGGAGAGUAGAAUUCCUAGUGUAGCGGUGAAAUGCGUAGAUAUUAGGAGGAAUACCAGUUGCGAAGGCGGCUCUCUGGACUGUAACUGACACUGAGGCACGAAAGCGUGGGGAGCAAACAGGAUUAGAUACCCUGGUAGUCCACGCCGUAAACGAUGAGUACUAGCUGUCGGGGGUUACCCCCCUCGGUGGCGCAGCUAACGCAUUAAGUACUCCGCCUGGGAAGUACGCUCGCAAGAGUGAAACUCAAAGGAAUUGACGG
rnacentral:rRNA from 1 species